ensembl:rRNA 5S_rRNA 5S ribosomal RNA
GCUUAUGGCCAUACCACCCUGAACACGCCUGAUCUCGUCUGAUCUCGGAAGCUAAGCAGGGUCGGGCCUGGUUUGUACUUGGAUGGGAGACCGCCUGGGAAUACCAUGUGCUGUAAGCU